rfam:Triticum aestivum genome assembly, contig: Triticum_aestivum_CS42_TGACv1_scaffold_145858_2BS
UGGCUACUCCCUCCCUUCGGAAUUACUCGUCACAAAAAAGAUGUAUCUACAACUAAAAUACAUCUAGAUACAUUCAUUUCUUGGACGAGUAAUUCCGAAUGGAGGGAGUAGUUU